AUGAACGGGUUCUCGCGCAGCGGCCCAGGCUCUCGGCCAGCACCCGCUGCUCGGGCUCCGCCGCCCCGGGCCCCGCGCCCCGCCCAGCGCGGCCAGUUUGGCCCGCUUCCGCUCCAGGAUCUCGCGCUUCCAGGCGGGCACCGCAGCGCGCGGCCCCGAGCCCGGCCGCCCCAGGGCGGCCAUGCUUCGAACGCGGCCGCGGACGGCUGGACUGAGGGCCGGAGUGGCCGCCGCCGUCGCGGCAGACCUGGGCGCCGCGGCCACGCCCCUCCCGGGCCACCGACCAUUGGGGGAAGCCCGCUCUCCCCGCCCGCGCGGGACGCCCACCUAUGGCAGGAGAGGAGGGCGGGCCCCUCAGGUGACCCUACCGAUUGGACAACACUCUCCUCAACCCCGCCUCCCAAGGGACUUCAUUGGACAACGCCUAUCACCGGAGCCGGCCUCCAUUGGGAAGGCCCCUCGGACACACCCAGGCGCCUCGCGCCGCUCACUGGCGGACCCCACUUCCGCCCCUGCGCUGUCGCCUCCCGGCGUCCCUGCGGGGAGCUGGGUGGGCGGCCCCUAGACCCCGCGCCUCGAGUGACCUUGGCUGAGCUUGGGACUUCCUCACGCUGCCAGCACCGAGGCCGCCUGUUCCAUCCGCUGAGGGUGCAGGAAGGGGGCUGCUCCAAGACCGAAGGCACCCGCGCCCAUGGACGGUGCACAGGCCACACUCUGGCCCGGACCCUGCUUUCACCAGGGGCCCUCCGACCUCCGGCAGGUGCCUGCGGGGCUUCGAAAUGCCAAUUCUGGAGCCCUGAGCAGCCCCAACGAACCAGUUUCUCAGAAAUCGCUAGUUUUUAUAGGCUGCCCAGAUGGGAGCCUCUUACCCCAACCUUUCCAUCCGUGGUCCCCACAAAGCAUGUGCAGGAGCAGGCACAAAGGAAGCAGCCUCUCCCGCCACACGCAAGCAGGCUCACCAGGGCAGGGCCCUGUAUGCUUGGACAGUUCUCCAAUGCAUUAAGAGCCAAAAAAAAAAAAAAAAAAAAAAGCCAGGGUAACGGUGGGCCCCAUAGGGCCGACCCCUGCGUCUUAUCACUCCACCCUGCCGCCACGUUAAGGCUACUCCUCUCCCAUCGGUUGAACUUCCCCCCAUUCAGGCUCCAGAUGCCAUGA
rnacentral:lncRNA from 1 species